AGUCAUAUGCUUGUCUCAAAGAUUAAGCCAUGCAUGUCUGAGUACAGACCGAUCUAAGGUGAAACCGCGAAUGGCUCAUUAAAUCAGUCAUAAUUCCUUGGAUAGUGAUAAAACUUCCUCGGAUAACUGUGGAAAAUCCAGAGCUAAUACGUGCAACUGAGUUCCGACCUUGGCGCGAGCCUCGGGAAGAACGCAUUUAUUAGAUUCAAAACUGACCGACGUACUCCUGCGGGAUGCGUCGAUCGUCAAAUGUUUGAUGACUCCGGAUAACUUAGCCGAGCGCUACGGUCUUUAGUACCGGCGCCGUAUCUUUCAAGUGUCUGCCUUAUCAGCUUUCGAUUGUAGGUUAAACGCCUACAAUGGCUGUAACGGGUAACGGGGAAUCAGGGUUCGAUUCCGGAGAGGGAGCCUGAGAAACGGCUACCACAUCUAAGGAAGGCAGCAGGCACGCAAAUUACCCACUCCCAGCCCGGGGAGGUAGUGACGAAAAAUAACGAUGCGAGACUCUUCCGAGGCCUCGCAAUCGGAAUGAGUUCAUUUUAAAACUUUGGACGAGGAUCCAUUGGAGGGCAAGUCUGGUGCCAGCAGCCGCGGUAAUUCCAGCUCCAAUAGCGUAUAUUAAAGUUGCUGCGGUUAAAAAGCUCGUAGUUGGAUCUCCUAGAUCCAUUUAGUGAUCGAGUCGCUCGUAGUAUUAACGUCCUUCGUCUGGUCGCCGAGACUAAUGGUGCGGGUUUCUCUCUUUCGCGCUGAUUCGUCGGUGUGUAUCGAGGUUGCCCUCUCCCGUUUCGGAGGACGGUCGGUCGUUGUCUUCGAGUAUCGCUCUUUCGCUUGUGGUACAAUUAAAAAAUUGUCGGCUCGCUCGGAGUGCUCUUUACCGAGUGUUCCAGGGUGGCCGACACGUUCACUUUGAAAAAAUUAGAGUGCUUAAAGCGGGCGCAUACGCUGCCUGAAUGUCUGUGCAUGGAAUGAAGUAACAGGACCUCGAUUCUGUUGUUUUUGUCGGUUUUAUUGAACCGAGGUAAUGAUUAAAAGGGACAGACGGUGGCAUUAGUAUUGCGGCGCUAGAGGUGAAAUUCUUGGACCGCUGCAAGACUAACUACUGCGAAAGCAUUUGCCGAGAAUGUUUUCAUUAAUCAAGAACGAAAGUUAGAGGAUCGAAGGCGAUCAGAUACCGCCCUAGUUCUAACCCUAAACUAUGCUAACUAGCGAUCCGCCGGAGUCAUUCCCACGACCCGGCGGGAAGCCCCAGGGAAACCAAAGUUUUUGAGUUCCGGGGGAAGUAUGGUUGCAAAGCUGAAACUUAAAGGAAUUGACGGAAGGGCACCACCAGGAGUGGAGCCUGCGGCUUAAUUUGACUCAACACGGGAAACCUCACCAGGCCCGGACAUCAUAAGGAUUGACAGGUUGAGAGCUCUUUCUCGAUUUGAUGGGUGGUGGUGCAUGGCCGUUCUUAGUUGGUGGAGUGAUCUGUCUGGUUGAUUCCGAUAACGAACGAGACUCUACCCUACUAACUAGUCGGCGGAUCGUAACCCUGAGAUUGUUAGUUCGUAUAGGUCGGUAUGUCCGAGUCGUGAGCGCGGUGGCUUUUGUUGCGUUAGUGUUAAGAGUACUUCAGACGUCCUUCGCGGGGCGCCUGGCCUUUUUCUCUAUCGUGUCGGGCCAUUUAGCGCGAGCGGCGAAGCUUCCGAUUGAUUACUGCUACUGCUGGGGGCGUCCGUCGCAAUGUAUCUUCUUAGAGGGAUCAGCGGCGUAUAGCCGCACGAGAAAGAGCAAUAACAGGUCUGUGAUGCCCUUAGAUGUUCUGGGCCGCACGCGCGCUACAAUGUAGAGAUCAGCGUGCUUUCCCCUUCCGAAAGGAACGGGUAACCCGUUGAAACCCCUACCCGAUUGGGAUUGGGGCUUGCAAAUAUUUCCCAUAAACGAGGAAUUCCCAGUAAGCGCGAGUCAUCAACUCGCGCUGAUUACGUCCCUGCCCUUUGUACACACCGCCCGUCGCUACUACCGAUUGAAUGAUUCAGUGAGGGCAUCGGACUGGCGCCUUCGGUUUAGUAACAUAGACCUUAGGCUGACGGAAAGAUGUCCGAAC
rnacentral:rRNA from 1 species